rnacentral:rRNA from 1 species
UGGCCUACGGGGCGCAGCAGUCGGGAAUAUUGCGCAAUGGAGGGAACUCUGACGCAGUGACGCCGCGUAUAGGAAGAAGGUUUUCGGAUUGUAAACUAUUGUCGUUAGGGAAGAAAAAAGACAGUACCUAAGGAGGAAGCCCCGGCUAACUAUGUGCCAGCAGCCGCGGUAAUACAUAGGGGGCAAGCGUUAUCCGGAAUUAUUGGGUGUAAAGGGUGCGUAGACGGGUGUUUAAGUUGGUUGUGAAAUCCCUCGGCUCAACUGAGGAACUGCAACCAAAACUGGAUAUCUUGAGUGUCGGAGAG